rnacentral:lncRNA from 1 species
AAUAUUUUUAAAGUCUUCAAAUAAAUGUGUGUGCCUGUGUUGUUUCUAUUACAGAAAGAAGAGGAGGGACUCCUUCACUGAGACUCAUAAAGGCAUAGAGCCUCUGGAGAUCACUGCCUCUAUUACACUACUGGAUCUCAUAGCACUUGUUAUGUUUUCAUCACUUUCUCUCCAGAAGGUCCUUUCUAUUCCAGAGGUUGGAAACCCAAAUGCCUACAGAGGCCAGACUGAUGGGAAUGAAGCAGGAAGCCACUGCACUGAACUGGAGAGCCAAGUCCUUUCUGGAGGAGCAGCCACUGCUCCGUUCCAGAUAAUUGUUGCAAGGCAGGAAUGUUGACCUAGUGUUACCACAUUGUCCAGUUUCUCAGGUAAAGCAGGAAAUGCAAAUUUUCAUGUGAAUCUUUUGAUAUAACUAUU